rnacentral:rRNA from 1 species
AUGUGGCUGGGUAGUAGAGGCCAAGGUGGUCGUGGAGGGCAAGUUGGGGCAUGCCUCGACCCGAUGUAUAAGGAGAAAUAUUAUUUUCACCCUACGAAUGGAAAUACCGGUACAUGCAAUGUCAAUGCAAACAAUGUGAAUGCAAACGGAGUGAUUGCAGGCAACCAUGCAUCGGCCAAGGACCCUCCCUUGGCGCCAGGGGGAAGGAAAGUGCCAGGUCUUACAAAAUACCAUGAGGGGAAAACUGGGGCGAGCAACUCAGCUCAGGGCACCUCUUUGCAAGUUCAAGCGAAGAAAUGGUAG